AUUGAACGCUGGCGGAAUGCUUUACACAUGCAAGUCGAACGGCAGCACGGUGGCAACCCUGGUGGCGAGUGGCGAACGGGUGAGUAAUACAUCUGAACGUGCCCGGUCGUGGGGGAUAACGUAGCGAAAGAUACGCUAAUACUGCAUACGAUCUGAGGAUGAAAGCUGGUGACCGUCGGGCCUCGCGCGAUCGUAGCGGCCGAUGUCGGAUUAGGUAGUUGGUGGGGUAAAUGCCUACCAAGCCGACGAUCUGUAGCUGGUCUGAGAGGACGACAAGCCACACGGGAGCGGGGCCGCGGCCCAGAGUCCUGCGGGAGGCAGCAGUGGGGAAUGUUGGACAAUGGGCGCAAGCAUGAUCCAGCCGUUCCGAGUGUAAGACGACGGCCUUCGGGUUGUAAUCUGCUUUUGUAUGGAACGAAAAGGCUCUGGCUAAUACCUGGGGCUCAUGACGGUAACGUAAGAAUAAGCACCGGCUAACUACGUG
rnacentral:rRNA from 1 species